AGUGAGAAGUGUUCCGGUAAUCA
rnacentral:siRNA from 1 species